GCAGGCUGCAACUCGCCUGCAUGAAGUCGGAAUUGCUAGUAAUCGCAGAUCAGCAUGCUGCGGUGAAUACGUUCCCGGGCCUUGUACACACCGCCCGUCACACCAUGGGAGUCGGUAACACCCAAAGUUGGUAGCCUAACCGCAAGGAGGGCGCCGCCUAAGGUGGGAUUGAUGACUGGGGUGAAGUCGUAACAAGGUAAC
rnacentral:rRNA from 1 species